UACGUAGGGGGCAAGCGUUAUCAGGAUUUACUGGGUGUAAAGGGCGUGCAGGCGGGAUAAAAAGUCAGUGGUGAAAUCCUACAGCUUAACUGUAGGACUGCCUUUGAUACUUUUAUUCUUGAGUUCGGGAGAGGGAGACGGAAUUCCAGGUGUAGUGGUGAAAUACGUAGAUAUCUGGAAGAACACCAGUUGCGAAGGCGGUCUCUUGGUCCGAUACUGACGCUGAGGCGCGAAAGCGUGGGGAGCAAACAGG
rnacentral:rRNA from 1 species